GCGGCGCUGGCGGAAUGGUAGACGCGCCGGCUUCAAGUCCCGUGUGUCCGUAAGGAUGUCCGAGUUCGAAUCUCGGGCGCCGCA
rnacentral:tRNA from 5 species